CAAAGGAAAUUGUCGUCCACAUAAAUCUGUUCAGAUUUGAUUGGAUCUGUUUCUGAUCGAAGGCAACAAAGGGGCAACAUCCCCUUCCUCGUUACCACCCUCAUAUAAGCAGCAGUACUGAUCAUCUCUUCCUCCAUCGAUUCUACUCCUGCCUCACACCCUCCGACCCCGAGGAUGCCUCAUCUAAACGGACAAAUGGUUGCUUAGAUGCUUGGUGUUGGGGUGCUCAGUUCUUUUGGUCCCAUGACAAAUCUCUGUUUUUCCUAUCUCUGAUUUUCGACAGCCUGUUCUGAUGGUCACUGAUUCAAUAGUUUCUCUGUGGUGCAGAUCCUUCGUGGGCAACCAACAGCCGUACCAAUGCUUUCUGCACGAUUGCCUCCAGAUCAGAUAUGAAGUUCUCCAAAGUUAAGGCGUCCUCACUAAUAUGUGGAAAGUGCCCAUCAAUUAGAUUUUUAGUUCUCCAAAGUUAAGGCGUCCUCACUAAUAUGUUGAAAGUGCCCAUCAAUCAGAUUUUUGUUCGAGAUCUCCCAGGUAAGAACUAAGCAAUCCAUGUACUCAAACUGUAUCUAUAAUUUUUAUUAGGGAGAAGUCCGAUUUACACUCUUAAACUAUCACAAAAGUCUGAUUUUCAACCUUCAACUACAAAACGGGAUAACAUAGGCCAUCCGUCGAAAUCGGGCAAUUUGGCCCUUUUGGGUGGUUUUGAAGGUGAUUUUCAUUUUUCUAAAAAAAAAAAAAACUAAUAAGAUCUAGAAAAUACAAACUAAUUCAUUUUAAAUUGGAAAAAUAUGAAACUUGUACCAAUUUUUUUUAUAUAAAUGUAACCUAUAUAUUAUUGCUCUAUUUGAAUCUUAGUUAUUAAAAAAUAAUAGGUAUAACUAUAAGCAACCAAAUAUUAUAAACAUAAAAAAAUAGAUCUGAAUAACUGACAAGUAUUGUGCCUAUAGAUAUGUUACAUUUUCAGAAAAAAUUUGAUACUCAUUUCAUUAUUUUUGGACUUAAAAUGAAUUACUUAUGAAUUUUUUAGUUUAAAAUUGAAUAUUUUUAAUUCUCACAAAAUAGAAAACCAGCUUCAAAACCACCUAAGGGAUUAAAUUUGUCCGGUUUCAAUAAUUGGAUGGCCUAUGUUAUCCGGUUUCGUAGUUGAAGGUUGGAAAUCAAACUUUUGUGAUAUUUUGAUGGUGUAAACCAGACUUUUUCUUUUUUAUUACAUCAUCCUUAGUCAAGCGACAAUGAAGUUUGUUGUGGCUUUAACCUUAUGCUUCCGGCUGUAUUCUCACAGGAUGUUGGCUACAUUUAUUGGUCAGCCGUAAGUACAUUUGCAUAUAGGUGUAGAAAAAAAGCAUAAUGUCGGUGUCAUAUAAAGCUGUUCCAUAUUCUCCUGUGUAUCCUCCUUUUUCUUCAUAUUUUUAUGUGUCAUGUGUUCUGCUUCAUAUGUGCUACCAAUGUAUGCCUGAAGAUAAUUGUUUGCUGUUUCUUA